rnacentral:rRNA from 1 species
GCAUAUCAAUAAGCGGAGGAAAAGAAACCAACAGGGAUUGCCCUAGUAACGGCGAGUGAAGCGGCAACAGCUCAAAUUUGAAAUCUGGCUUUCGGGCCCGAGUUGUAAUUUGUAGAGGAUGAUUUUGAUGCGGUGCCUUCCGAGUUCCCUGGAACGGGACGCCAUAGAGGGUGAGAGCCCCGUCUGGUUGGAUGCCAAAUCUCUGUAAAUCUCCUUCGACGAGUCGAGUAGUUUGGGAAUGCUGCUCUAAAUGGGAGGUAUAUGUCUUCUAAAGCUAAAUACCGGCCAGAGACCGAUAGCGCACAAGUAGAGUGAUCGAAAGAUGAAAAGCACUUUGAAAAGAGAGUUAAAAAGUACGUGAAAUUGUUGAAAGGGAAGCGUUUAUGACCAGACUUGGGCUUGGUUAAUCAUCUGGGGUUCUCUCCAGUGCACUUUUCCAGUCCAGGCCAGCAUCAGUUUUCGCCGGGGGAUAAAGGCUUCGGGAAUGUGGCUCCCCUCGGGGAGUGCUAUAGCCCGUUGUGUAAUACCCUGGUGGGGACUGAGGUUCGCGCUUCUGCAAGGAUGCUGGCGUAAUGGUCAUCAACGACCCGUCUUGAAACACGGACCAAGGAGUCGUCUUCGUAUGCGAGUGUUCGGGUGUCAAACCCCUACGCGUAAUGAAAGUGAACGCAGGUGAGAGCUUCGGCGCAUCAUCGACCGAUCCUGAUGUUCUCGGAUGGAUUUGAGUAAGAGCAUACGGGGCCGGACCCGAAAGAAGGUGAACUAUGCCUGUGUAGGGUGAAGCCAGAGGAAACUCUGGUGGAGGCUCGCAGCGGUUCUGACGUGCAAAUCGAUCGUCAAACAUGGGCAUGGGGGGCGAAAGACUAAUCGAACCUUCUAGUAGCUGGUUUCCGCCGAAG